AGGUGAGCACUCACACCUCCUUCUCUCUGCCUCUGCUCAAGUGUCGGAUCUCGCAGUACCUUUCUAUAGAAGCUACCGCUUCCCAUUGGGUGUAUUGCUACGAUUCAUGAACAGAAGAAGCAGUAGUGGACAAGUAAGAAGGAGGCCGAGUAAGGCAAGUCAUGCACCUGGUUGGUUUGUGUUCCUUUCCUGAGCAUAGGCAAGUCAUGCACCUGGCUGGUUUGUGUUCCUUUCCUGAGCAUGUCAUGGCUGGUGAUUGCUAUAUAGGUAAUCAUGCACUGGCUCACCAGACAUCUCCUUCUCAAGAGCAGCAAUGCAUUGAAGGGAUAGUGGCAUUAUGAAAGGAGUAACAAUGCCAGAAAUGAGUGUCUAAAAUGGAACAUGUUUAGAAGUAUGAGGAUGAGGCCUACUAAUAUUUAUCAGCAACACAAACAAGAAGGCAACUACAAAAGGAACUGAAGAUUCUAAGAAAACGUAUGUGCUAUGGCAUUUAAACGGACAGUAAACACCCUGCAAUUACACAAUAUCCCAGCAUUCAUGCAAUCAAUUAACAUGCUGUGUGAAUUAUUUUUUGGAAUACAUUAGAACUGUAUUGGCUACAACUGUUUUUCAUCAGCCAUUCUCCCCUACUACCAUUUGCCUUUUUUGUUAGAGCCAAUUGAGACUUGUUCAUUGAGGGAACCAUGAAUGCCAACAUGUACUGUGACAUACUGAAGUAGAGCAUGAUCCACUCCCUUCGGAGACUGGGCCACAGGGCAGUAUUCCAACAUGAUAACGACCCCAAACACACCUCCAAGAAGCUGAGGGUAAAGGUGAUGGACUGGCCAAGCAUGUCUCCAGACCUAAACCGUAUUGAGCAUCUGUGGGGCAUUCUCAAACGGAAGGUGGGGGAAAGAUCUCUAACAUUCACCAGCAACGUGAUGUCGUCAUGUAGGAGUGGAAGAGGACUCCAGUGGCAACCUGUGAAGCACUGGUGAACUCCAUGCCCAAGAGGGUUAAGUCAGUUCUAGAAAAUAAUGGUGGCCACACAAAAUAUUGACACUUUUUGGGCCCAAUUUGGACAUUUCCACUUAGGGGUGUACUCACUUUUGUUGCCAACAGUUUAGACAUUAAUGGCUGUGUGUUAUUUUGAGGGGACAGCAAAUUUACACUCACUACUUUACAUUGUAGCAAAGUGUCAUUUCUUCAGUGUUGUCACAUGAAAAGAUAUAAUAAAAUAUUUACAAAAAUGUGA